UACAGAGGGGGCCAGCGUUAUUCGGAAUUACUGGGCGUAAAGCGUGCGCAGGCGGUUAUGCAAGACAGAGGUGAAAUCCCCGGGCUCAACCUGGGAACUGCCUUUGUGACUGCAUAGCUAGAGUACGGUAGAGGGGGAUGGAAUUCCGCGUGUAGCAGUGAAAUGCGUAGAUAUGCGGAGGAACACCGAUGGCGAAGGCAAUCCCCUGGACCUGUACUGACGCUCAUGCACGAAAGCGUGGGGAGCAAACAGG
rnacentral:rRNA from 1 species